AACACUUGGAUAAGCUAACUAGCAGCAUGAAUCGAAUUCGACCACUGAGAUGCUCAGUGGUCGGCUGCACAAAUCAGCACAAAUGUCCUCAUGUGACUCCAGCUUCAGAAGACACAAGAUUGAGAUGGAUUGAGUUCAUAUAUGAUGGCAAUGUUCCUGCAAGAGUUGGCAAAUAUCUGUAUCGGACUGUUUUAUCAACCUGGGCCAAUAUAAUGCCGGAUUCUCGAAAAGGCAAGCACAUCUGUUCACGGUGCUAGGGUACAUCACGUAGCAUGCCAGACGGACCCACCAAAGAUGCGCAUACAUGGCACGCAGCUUUCUAUGAAAACACUGCGACCUCACUACAAAAGUACAGGCACACAGAAAACUGUUCCCUGCACUGAUGUCGGUGUUGGGACCUCAGCUGUAAGAGACCUUGCUUGGAGGAGGGAGAGGACAACCCAAGUUGUUCAAGUAUGGACUUCGGAGAUCCACAGGAUGUUAUCUAUGAUCCUGAUGACUCGGUCACAGUCUUGACUGAGUCAGCAGAUGUGACGACAUUGUGCCAAGUUACAUGGUGAUGGACCUAAGGACCAACACUAUUAUUGAUCUGCAGUUGGUUCAGGACUGUCCAAGAAACUGGUCAAGAUAUCCCAGGACAAAGAAUGUGUGAAACUGAAGAAGUGGCUUCGCAGCAUAAAAAAACACAUCUACUGGACAGCCGCUAUGUCAACAUCAGGGCAAGAGAGAGUGGCAAAGUGGACCUCCAUCCUUAACCAUGUCCAAGACAUCCACUCCAAUGAAGACCCUGUUUUCCCCCAGUGUUUGCAUCCGCAACACACUUCUAGGGACAAGAGCAAAUGGUUGACAGCAGGGACACCAGCCUUCUGCAGAUUAGAGAAGGUGUUGACUAACAAGAGGGUUCUGAAAGAUGUGGGGAAGCUGAGCCCUCACUACGUCGUUGGAGUCUUUCCAUAGCGUCAUUCUGCGUUUUGCACCCAAACACAUUGUCUUUUCCUUUUCUUGGAAUGUUAUGCAGGUAAAAGUACGAUUUAUUUUUUCAAAAAAUGUAUACCUAUUAUUUAUUAUACAAACUAUUAUACAGGCAUACACAAAUGCUCUUAUUAAUAUUAUUUUCUACCCAAAGACUCGACCUGGCAGCCCUUCAUUUCAAUGAAAAUGCUGGCCGUCCCCAAGCAACAAGUUCAAAUGGUGAGCCGCUAUUUAGAGUGAGCUUCCCAAAAUAUAAGAAGGGCGAGUGCACAGCAAAGCGGGUGAAAGCAGAUGCAA